AAUGGGCGCAAGCCUGAUCCAGCCAUGCCGCGUGAGUGAUGAAGGCCCUAGGGUCGUAAAGCUCUUUCGCCAGGGAUGAUAAUGACAGUACCUGGUAAAGAAACCCCGGCUAACUCCGUGCCAGCAGCCGCGGUAAUACGGAGGGGGUUAGCGUUGUUCGGAAUUACUGGGCGUAAAGCGCGCGUAGGCGGAUUAGUCAGUUAGAGGUGAAAUCCCGGGGCUCAACCCCGGAACUGCCUUUAAUACUGCUAGUCUUGAGUUCGAGAGAGGUGAGUGGAAUUCCGAGUGUAGAGGUGAAAUUCGUAGAUAUUCGCAGGAACACCAGUGGCGAAGGCGGCUCACUGGCUCGAUACUGACGCUGAGGUGCGAAAGUGUGGGGAGCAAACAGGAUU
rnacentral:rRNA from 1 species